rnacentral:rRNA from 1 species
UACGUAGGGUGCAAGCGUUAAUCGGAAUUACUGGGCGUAAAGCGUGUGCAGGCGGCCUAACAAGUGGUGUAUGAAAUAUCCAGGCUCAACCUGGAGGGGUUAUGCCAGACUGUUAGGCUAGAGUGCGAGAGAGGGGCGUGGAAUUCCGGGUGUAGUGGUGAAAUGCGUAGAGAUCCGGAGGAACCCCAGAGGCGAAGGCGGCGCCCUGGCUCGCCACUGACGCUCAGACACGACAGCAUGGGGAGCGAACGGG